UGGGGAAUAUUGGACAAUGGGGGGAACCCUGAUCCAGCCAUGCCGCGUGUGUGAAGAAGGCCUUAUGGUUGUAAAGCACUUUAAGCGAGGAGGAGGCUCUCUUGGUUAAUACCCAAGAAGAGUGGACGUUACUCGCAGAAUAAGAACCGGCUAACUCUGUGCCAGCAGCCGCGGUAAUACAGAGGGUGCGAGCGUUAAUCGGAUUUACUGGGCGUAAAGCGUGCGUAGGCGGCUUUUUAAGUCGGAUGUGAAAUCCCCGAGCUUAACUUGGGAAUUGCAUUCGAUACUGAGAAGCUAGAGUAUGGGAGAGGAUGGUAGAAUUCCAGGUGUAGCGGUGAAAUGCGUAGAGAUCUGGAGGAAUACCGAUGGCGAAGGCAGCCAUCUGGCCUAAUACUGACGCUGAGGUACGAAAGCAUGGGGAGCAAACAGG
rnacentral:rRNA from 1 species